CCCUCGCGCCUCCGCCCGGGCCCCAGACCCUGGGGGCAGAGGGCAGAGGGCAGAGGUCAGAGGCCGCGGGGAGGAACCCCCCUGUUGCUUCCGCCUCCCGGGGCGCAGGCGCUGGGCGCGGCGGGGAAGGGACUCGGCACUGGGGAAACCCGGAGUUUCAGCCAGGGUCCCAGGGCUUCCUUCCCGGGUUCCUGCCGGAAAACUUUUCUCCUCCGCCCGGAAGCCUCGAUGGGGCAGUGAGAUCGCGGGGCGAGCCUGUCCUGCUCUGGCCUGCCCUGUGCUCAGGAAGCUGGCGGUCCCCCUCAGUGGAUCUUCACCCACAGGGACAACCUGCUGCAGACCGGGUAGGAGGGAGGCAGGGGCCUCUUCCCCUCUCCUUCCUGGCCUGGCCCCACACCCACCAGUGUUGGUUUCACUCUGUGGCUACGAUUCUUCCUGGGUGCCCUUUCCAUUGCACAACUCCUCUAGGCUCUACGAACAGAACUUCUCCCCGCCCCCAAGCCUCUUAGGGUGAGACAUGUUGUCGGUCUGCCAUUGUUGCUGGUCCCUAAAUAGCAGCACCCUUUGAAGGAUCCUUGAACCAUGACCACACCGCAACAAAGAGUCCUUCAUCAAACUCGCUUCCAAAUCCCCUCCCAAGAACACCUUCAGUUUCCUGCAAGAACCCUGACUGCUGAAGCCGGAUUUUGACUAAGCUUCUACCUUGUAAACCGUGACUGUGGGAUUGGGGUCGAGGCGCAAUCAGAGGUUGUAUAAGGCACUAGAUCAAGGCUGCCUGUCUGUCAGGAGUGUCUGCUUUAUUCAGUAGUAAAUGUGAAUUGUUUUUCAUUCUGUUGUGAAUACUGUUGGUUGACAAUGCAGCAGCCAUGCCCUCUCUAUCCUUGCUGGUUCAGGUAUCCACUCUGUGUGGCUAAGGGUAAACUCUGUCUCUUGAGAAAAUCUUGGUAACUCCAUUUCUCUUUCCAACAAUUGGCUUCAAACAAGCUCAAGUCAAUGAGUCCCAACAGGAAGCCUGCUGGGGGUUGUCUGGCAAAGGUUUUCUCACUCCUACAGGAACAUAAAGAGGAAAUGCUCCUUUUUCCCUGGUGAAUGUUGCAUUCCCUGUCUGGAUGCAAUGCCUGGUGCUCCGCAGCCCUUUGCACUUAUAAGAGAAGGUGGCCGGAAGAGCAUCUUCACCCUGGGGUGGCCGCCUGGGAAGAUGAGAAGAGCAGGAGUCCUUGGUGGCACAACCAGGCAAUUCACCAAAAUCCUGCUGCCCUCACCUGGAAUUUCCUGCUAUGAGAGACGUCUCCGUUUAAACCACAUGAGCUGGAUUUUCUGUUUCUAACACAUGUCAGCAUCUUCACGGUAAAUCUAAGAAAAAAAAAUCAGGGCUAUUAAAAAACAAAGUCCAACUCACCCUGUGCUAUGGUCUGAAGGUGUCCUCCCAAAUUCACACGUGGAAACCUAAUCCCAAAUACCUGAUACCUAAUCCCAAAUAUUAAGAGGUGGGGGCCUUGGGAGGUGGUUAGGAAUGGGAUUAGUGCCCUUUAAAACUGAGGUUUUUGGGAGCCUGCUUGCCCUUUCUGCCAUAUGAAGAUGCUUAGAAGAGGCCUUCUAUGAAGCAGAGAACUUUUCUCAGAUGCCAGAUCUGCUGGGACCUUGAUCUUGGAUUUCUCAGCCUUCAGAACUGUGGGAAGCAAACUUCUGUGUGUAUGAAUAGCCAUCUAAAGGAUUUUGUUACAGCAGCCUGAGCAGACUAAGACACCCUGUGAGUCAGUUAUUUUUGGCUGUGUCACGAGUGACCGCGAGUGCAGGAGCUGAAACGGCAGUGAGUGGGUUACCAUUUCUCAGGACCCUGCGGAAUUGGUGCGAUGGUGCUUCUGCUCCACCUGUUGUUGGCUGGGAUUGUCCUGCAGCUGCAUUCUUCUGGGGGUCAGCUGGGGCUGGAAGCUUCCUGUGGUCUAGUCACACAGCUGGGGUCUCAGCUAGGGUGAUAGAACACUGGGGGCAGGCCGGCCUUGCUGUCUCUCUCUGGCUUCUCAUCAUUCAGUGGUCUAGCCUGAGUUUUUUACAUGGCAGCUCAGGAGGGUCAAUGUGGACGCUAUACAGCCUGUAAGGCCCGGGUUUGGAAGUCCAAGAAUAUGACUUCUACCAUGUUCUACUGGUGAAUAUAAAUUCCAAGGCCAGCCUAGAUUCAAGGGAUAAGAACGUAGAUUUCACUCCUUGAUGGGAGGAUCCCAUGUACAGACAGGGAUCCUUAUGAGGGAUUAUGAGAACUCCUAAUCCUUAUGAGGGAUUAUCAUACAGAGAAUUUAUGGGGGAUUAUCUUUGGAAAUAAUCUACCAUAGACUGAAUAAAUGAUAAUGUAAUGUG
rnacentral:lncRNA from 1 species